rnacentral:rRNA from 1 species
GAUGAACGCUGGCGGCGUGCCUAAUACAUGCAAGUCGAGCGAACAGACGAGGAGCUUGCUCCUCUGACGUUAGCGGCGGACGGGUGAGUGACACGUGGAUAACCUACCUAUAAGACUGGGAUAACUUCGGGAAACCGGAGCUAAUACCGGAUAACAUGUUGAACCGCAUGGUUCAACAGUGAAAGACGGUCUUGCUGUCACUUAUAGAUGGAUCCGCGCCGCAUUAGCUAGUUGGUAAGGUAACGGCUUACCAAGGCAACGAUGCGUAGCCGACCUGAGAGGGUGAUCGGCCACACUGGAACUGAGACACGGUCCAGACUCCUACGGGAGGCAGCAGUAGGGAAUCUUCCGCAAUGGGCGAAAGCCUGACGGAGCAACGCCGCGUGAGUGAUGAAGGUCUUCGGAUCGUAAAACUCUGUUAUUAGGGAAGAACAAAUGUGUAAGUAACUAUGCACGUCUUGACGGUACCUAAUCAGAAAGCCACGGCUAACUACGUG